rnacentral:rRNA from 1 species
AGGACGAACGCUGGCGGCGUGCUUAACACAUGCAAGUCGAGCGGAAAGGCCCUUCGGGGUACUCGAGCGGCGAACGGGUGAGUAACACGUGAGUAAUCUGCCCCUAGCUCUGGGAUAGCUCCGGGAAACCGGGAUUAAUACCAGAUACGACCACUUUAGACAUCUGUUGUGGUGGAAAGAAUUUUGGCUAGGAUGAGCUCGCGGCCUAUCAGCUUGUUGGUGAGGUAACGGCUCACCAAGGCGACGACGGGUA